rnacentral:rRNA from 1 species
CAGUCGACGAGCUUCCGUUGAUGACGUGCUUGCACUGAUUUCAACAAUGAAGCGAGUGGCGAACUGGUGAGUAACACGUGGGAAAUCUGCCCAGAAGCAGGGGAUAACACUUGGAAACAGGUGCUAAUACCGUAUAACAACAAAAUCCGCAUGGAUUUUGUUUGAAAGGUGGCUUCGGCUAUCACUUCUGGAUGAUCCCGCGGCGUAUUAGUUAGUUGGUGAGGUAAAGGCCCACCAAGACGAUGAUACGUAGCCGACCUGAGAGGGUAAUCGGCCACAUUGGGACUGAGACACGGCCCAAACUCCUACGGGAGGCAGCAGUAGGGAAUCUUCCACAAUGGACGAAAGUCUGAUGGAGCAAUGCCGCGUGAGUGAAGAAGGGUUUCGGCUCGUAAAACUCUGUUGUUAAAGAAGAACACCUUUGAGAGUAACUGUUCAAGGGUUGACGGUAUUUAACCAGAAAGCCACGGCUAACUACGUGCCAGCAGCCGCGGUAAUACGUAGGUGGCAAGCGUUGUCCGGAUUUAUUGGGCGUAAAGCGAGCGCAGGCGGUUUUUUAAGUCUGAUGUGAAAGCCUUCGGCUUAACCGGAGAAGUGCAUCGGAAACUGGGAGACUUGAGUGCAGAAGAGGACAGUGGAACUCCAUGUGUAGCGGUGGAAUGCGUAGAUAUAUGGAAGAACACCAGUGGCGAAGGCGGCUGUCUAGUCUGUAACUGACGCUGAGGCUCGAAAGCAUGGGUAGCGAACAGGAUUAGAUACCCUGGUAGUCCAUGCCGUAAACGAUGAGUGCUAAGUGUUGGAGGGUUUCCGCCCUUCAGUGCUGCAGCUAACGCAUUAAGCACUCCGCC